UGGGAGUCAUCAAGUGUAACAGCAACUCCAUGUGGAUUGUGUGCCAAUUUCCAGUGGAGAUGCUGUUACUUUUGAUGGUUACCAA
rnacentral:pre_miRNA from 12 species